rnacentral:snRNA from 1 species
GUGCUUGCUUCAGCAGCACAUAUACUAAAAAUUGGAACGAUACAGAGAAGAUUAGCAUGGCCCCUACGCACGGAUAACACACAAAUUCGUGAAGCAUUCCAUAUUUUU